AUUGAACGCUGGCGGCAUGCCUUACACAUGCAAGUCGAACGGCAGCACGGGAGCAACCCUGGUGGCGAGUGGCGAACGGGUGAGUAAUACAUCGGAACGUGCCCAAUCGUGGGGGAUAACGCAGCGAAAGCUGUGCUAAUACCGCAUAAGAUCUACGGAUGAAAGCAGGGGACCGCAAGGCCUUGCGCGAAUGGAGCGGC
rnacentral:rRNA from 1 species